GAGGGUAUAGCUCAGUGGUAGAGCACAUGCCUAGCAUGCAUGAGGUCCUGGGUUCAAUCCCCAGUACUGCCA
rnacentral:tRNA from 1 species